rnacentral:tRNA from 1 species
GCCGGGAUGGCGGAAUUGGUAGACGCGCGGGACUCAAAAUCCCGUAUCCGCAAGGAUGUGAGAGUUCAAGUCUCUCUCCCGGCACCA